GGCAAGCGGGUUCUAAUGUUUUUACUCUGGUGGAUUCAGAGGAAGAGGAAUACUUCGGAGAUGAGGGUUCAUCCAGAAUAACUUCAGUUGUUAAUCAUCAAACUGCCCAGUCAAUAAAUGGUCAUGCUUUUGUUGAAGAUAACUCACAAAAAAUUUGUAAUGACCGACUUCCAAAUGAAGAAAGAAAUGAGAGUGAUGUUUAAAGGACCAGAGGAAAUCUGAUUGCUUCUGUGCAAUAUUUUCUGCCUAAGUGUGUGGAGAAGACUGCUAUAUUGGGGAUUUCCAGUGAGCUCUGAGCCAAUGUACUGUUUGGAAAUGAUUAACCUAAUGUUAUUUGAAAAGUAUAGUCUUUUUCUAGAUACACUGAAACAAAUGAAAACAAACAUUAGGAAUUGCUUUUAAAUGCAGGAAUUUAGACUGCCAGAAAAAUCAUUGCAGUUUAUGCUCAGGAUUUAAGUAUGAAAGGUAGGUUUAGUGUGUUUGCUGUAUCUGUAUGGUAUCUAACCUGUUAGCUUGCAACUAAUUUAGUUUAAAAGUGCUCUGUCUGUCGCUUUUUAUAAAAUAGUGCCUGCCUUGCAUUCCCUCUCAGUGUUUAUUUGCAAGCCUUACAAAAUAUUUUUGAACAAUUUUAAAGCAGAACCUUUUUGUGAAAUUAUACAGUGUAAUUAAGUGUUAAAAUGAUAUUGUGCAUCUUGGUUUUGUUCAGUGAUUGACUUAUUUAUGCAAAUAGGAAUCCAUUUUAUAUUAAUACACAAGGACAAAUAUUACAUGUUUAUUUUAAAUGAUUUUACUAUUUGUGUAGCUUAGCUUUUUUAUAAACAAAACCUGUAUUGUGUUCUA